rnacentral:rRNA from 1 species
GUUACGACUUCACCCCAGUUAUCGGUCCCACCUUCGACGGCUCCCUCCGAUUGGUUGGGUCACCGGCUUCGGGCGUUACUGACUCCCAUGGUGUGACGGGCGGUGUGUACAAGACCCGGGAACGUAUUCACCGCGACAUUCUGAUUCGCGAUUACUAGCGAUUCCAGCUUCAUGUAGUCGAGUUGCAGACUACAAUCCGAACUGAGACGUUAUUUUUGGGAUUUGCUCACAUUCACAUGCUUGCUUCCCUUUGUUUACGCCAUUGUAGCACGUGUGUAGCCCUGGUCAUAAGGGGCAUGAUGAUUUGACGUCAUCCCCACCUUCCUCCAGGUUGUCCCUGGCAGUCUCUCUAGAGUGCCCAUCCGAAAUGCUGGCUACUAAAGAUAGGGGUUGCGCUCGUUGCGGGACUUAACCCAACAUCUCACGACACGAGCUGACGACAACCAUGCACCACCUGUCUCCAGUGCUCCGAAGAGAAAGGACGGUUAAAUCCCGGUCACCGGGAU